UACGGAGGGUGCAAGCGUUAAUCGGAAUUACUGGGCGUAAAGCGUGCGCAGGCGGUUUGUUAAGUCCGCUGUGAAAUCCCCGAGCUCAACUUGGGAAUUGCAGUGGAUACUGGCAGGCUGGAGUACGGUAGAGGAAGGUGGAAUUCCCGGUGUAGCAGUGAAAUGCGUAGAUAUGCGGAGGAACACCGAUGGCGAAGGCAAUCCCCUGGGCCUGCACUGACGCUCAUGCACGAAAGCGUGGGGAGCAAACAGG
rnacentral:rRNA from 1 species